AGUAACCGAUAUGGUUGUUGAAUCGAUUGGAAUUUGAUCGAUGGCUUUCUGUCUUUCUGGGAUUAGAUGUGGUGGUUGCAUAAACUGGAAGCAGCAGCGGCUGGAGAUGCAGGAAUGGCAGCUCAUCUGGCUGAAGUUACGGAGUGGGUGGGAAAGGAAAGAUAAAGCCCUCAGAAGAAGAGGAUGAUGAUGCAUUUUCAUACCUUAUCCACCCAUUCCAUUGGUUUCGAUUGUUCUUCUUUUCCCGUAUUUACCUUCAUCUGGAUUUUACUCAGAUUUCCUCCUCUCAUAUCAAGGUCAGGCCUUUACAUCCCAUUUCAAUGAUAUCUUCAAGACUUCCCCUCAUUCAUUCAACGAAUCUUACUUUGAUUGUAUUCGUGGGAGAGUAUGACUGGCUCCAGAGACCUGUCACUGAAGCAGAAAUUUAUCACACUGUAAUGGGCAUGACUUCAUCCAAGGCCCCUGGGCCGGAUGGGUUCUCUGGUUUUUUCUAUCAUUAGGAAUGGGGCGCAUUCAAAGCGGAGGUGAUCCGUACAGUCAUGGCUUUGUUUUACACAGGAACCUUUGCCAGCAAUCUGAACCGCACUAAUACCGAAGGUAGACCAUCCUCCGUCCAUCGGAGAAUUUAGACCGAUAAGUCUUUGCAAUUUCUCAUAUAAGAUCAUCUCACGGAUUAUGGUGAGUCAUUUGCGGCACAUUCUAGAUAACUUAAUCUCAUUGAAUUAGAAUGACUAAGUCAAUGGUAGGAGUAUACAUGACAACAUGCUCAUCUGUCAUGAAAUCUUACACAAACUCAAGACCAAGUGGACUGAAAGGACAGGCUUACUUUCUGUCAAGCUCAACAUGAAGAAAGCCUAUUAUAGGCUCGAGUGGGAUUUUCUUCAUAGCACACUUCGUAGCUAUGGUUUUCAUCACCUGGAUUGAUCACAUAAUGUUCUGCAUCACUACUCCACAAUUGGCGGUCCUUCUCAAUGGUUCUCCACUGGAAUAUCUUAAACCUUCUAGGGGUCUACUGCAGGGCGACCCACACUUCUCCUAUCUUUUUGUCCUGUGUGCAGAACAACUAACCUCCCACUUACAUAUUGCCCAUCUUCAAGGAAGGAUCAUGGGUAUUAAGAUUGCUUGAGGGGGUGAAUCUAUCUCAUCUCGCCUUCAUGGAUGAUAUCAUCCUAUUUUGAGAGGCCAUAUGAAUUACAGGAUCAGCCAUAAGCUUGGAGCUUGGAAAAAAAAAUCUUAUCUUAUGCAGGUAAGCAUACACUCGUUCAGUCCACUCUCACUGCCAUGCCCAUGCACUAUAUAUUGCUUCAGCCUGCUGGCCUCCAUCCGGAAGCACCUUGACAAAGCAAGUCAGACUUUCUUUUGGUCCAAUGAUGGAGCCAAACACACUCCGACCAUUGGUUGAAAAGCUAUUUGUUAACCAAAGUCCAGUGGUGACCUUAAUCUCAA